GUGUAUACCGCUUGGCACGAUAUGCGACUAUCCAAUUUCUUGUUGUUCUAAUAUGUUAUGCCGCCCAAUUAUAUUCUUUGGUAAACGGCAUUGUGCAAAAGGAAAAAAGUAAGUAAUAACAGAAUAAAGAACAUAGAACACCUUUAUAGCCAGGCAUUUUAUUGUGUUUAUCGGACAUUAAAGAAAAAUAAUGUUCAAUUACCUA